UUGAAAUAACAAGUAAAAGCACGUACGAUAUCUGGUGGAGAAUAGGUUCUAAAGUUUAAUUCCUUUACAAUAACAUUUUCCACAACAAAAAUCGUCAGAAAUAUUUCAAGAUGUCUCACUACAAUUUACGUUCUCGCCUAUCAGCCACUCUACCGCCACAGUUGACGCCGCCAACAUCCCCACCUGACGAGUCGACAGUUCCGGAGCAACCACUUCAACCAUCAACUACCAUAUCAAAACAAGACACUCCAAAAUCAUCAAGCAGACGCCUUCCGCACCUGGCCACUCUCCAGCAGACGGGGAACGACCGGUGAGAAACUUCCAUACCGCACAGACUUCGGACCCAAGAGGCGCACACGACAAUACAUCAUUCAUAUAAAUAUAGUGUGUAUUUCAUAAUUGUGUUCUUAAAUUUGUAUUUUCAUUGAUACUCUAUUGUAUAUAUAAUAUCAUUUUAUCGUUACAUUUUUGGUUCCCUAUUGUCAAUUUUACAUUUCAUUAUUUUCAUAAAAUGGAUAUUGUUAUUAACAUUUCAUUUUUAUAUUGUUCUCUAAUUAUUUCAAGUUAUUAUUUAAAUACAAUGGCAACUCUUCUAGUAAUUUAUACAUUUCCCUCCCUUUAGAUAACCAUCAACUGCAUCACAUAAAAUACUUUUUAAAUACUUUUCCCAAAUUAAGAAAAAUCCAUAGACGCACUAAAAAGUUACUAUUUACCCACAUGUUAAAUAAUCCUAACAUUUCAUUUUCAAGCUUAAUUUUUGCUAUAGACUACUUCGACAUAAAUAUACUCUAUCUUCAAAUGCUCGACCAUCUACUUUAUGAAAUCCACCCCCUAAAUUUUCAAAUCUGCCAAACAAUUAUUUUAAGGUUCGGUUCAAAAUCCCAAAGAUCCAUAAUAGCCCACAAAAGAUUUCUUCAAUCAAAAUUUCUACCUCCCUCAUUAUACAAUUUUUC